rnacentral:misc_RNA from 1 species
GAUGAAGAACGCAGCGAAAUGCGAUAAGUAAUGUGAAUUGCAGAAUUCAGUGAAUCAUCGAAUCUUUGAACGCACCUUGCGCCCUUUGGCUAUUCUGAAGGGCAUGCCUGUUUGAGUAUCGUGAACACCUCAACUCUCAUGGUCUGCCAUGAUGAGCUUGGACUUUGGGGGUCUUGCUGGCCUACUGUCAGCUCCUCUCAAAUGAAUCAGCUUACCAGUGUUUGGUGGCACCACAGGUGUGAUAACUAUCUACGCUUGUGGUUUUCUGCCCGGUAACCUCCAGUGAUGGAGGUUCGCUGGAGCUCACAAAUGUCUCUCCUCAGCGAGGACAGCUUUUUGAACGUUUGAUCUCAAAUCAGGUAGGACUACCCGCUGAACUUAAGCAUAUCAAUAAGCGGAGGA